AAAAUAAAGAUAGGCCCAAUUUAAUGGUUUGUAUUGAAUCAAAAAUCACAAUUCAAUUGUAAUUUCAAAUCGAAAUCUACAAAGUGCAAACCCUAUCUCAAUUCUCAAUCCCUCUCCAUUCAGCCCCUGCACUGUGGUGAUGUGACCUGCUUCUGGCUGUCGAUGAGUCACCUUCGAUGCCUAGCCUCUCCGAUCUCCAUCUUUAGAAUGCAUUGUUGUUGUGAGUCUGCUAUCUCUUUCUCUUUUCUUUUUUCUGGUUUUUGUUCUUUUAGAAUUUAGUUCAUUUUCUGAUUUAUUAUUUAUCAAUUAUAUUUAAUGUUUUAUGAGUUCUGACUAUGUCUGUGAGCAUGUUAACUGUGAGAUUUUUGUGAAUUUGAGAAUUGGAAAUUUUGUAAAAUUCGAAAAUUUGAGAAAAUAGUGGAUUUUGCUACUGACUGCUCAUGUUUAUUAUUUACAAAAAUUGGGAUUUUGUGAAUUUAAGAAUAUUUGAUAUCCGUGGAUUGUGAAUUUGAUUUGUGACAAAUGAAAAUGGUAUAUGGUUUUUAUGUCUUAGUGCAUUUACAUAUAUAUUUAAGAAUUUUUAAUAUUUGUAACUACUUAUUAAUAAAAGAUCUUACUAUUACAAUCAUUGACGGUUAAUGAUUGUCCUAAUUGACCUACAAUCAUGAAUCCGCCACUGGGGCUAGAGUAGCAUAGAUAGGCCGUUUUGGUAAAAUAUGAAUAAAUUGAUGUGUAUGUCUUAAAAAUUUGUGGAUCAAAGUUACUUGAGGGUUUAAGGGUGAAAUUAAAAAUAAAAUAAAGUAAAUUUGAAGAUGUUAUACUAAUAUCUCUAAACUAGUCUUUUUGACAUUGUUUAGAAACAAAUAUACAUGUUGCGAUUGCCACUCGAUGAGAGGGGAUAGUCGAUUAAUUAUAGAUUUUCGUUCAUCUUGCAAUGAAGUUUUACCUAUAACUCGUGACAAGUAAAAUUAUUUACUCUUGAUAAUAUGUAAAAAUUAGUAGGAACUUAAGAUAAAGAAUUUAUAUUUCUGUCUAUUUUCUUUCUAAUUUAAUUAACAUACCCUUUUAUCAUCUAUUGUUGUACAUAUGAAGUUAAAUUCAUCUGAUUUUUCACUAAUAUAUCACAUAAUUAAUAUAAAACACAGAAGAAAUUAAAUGAUUAUUGCACAAAAAAUAUUUAUAUGAAGGCUCGGGAGAUAUUUCUAUUUCUUUAUGUUUCAUUAAUAAAGUUUAUUAUUAGACUUUUGGGAUAACUGCAGCAGCGAUUUCUAAUCGUUCGAUUUUUUUGUGAACUUUAUCUUAACUUUCAAUUUGUGCCACCAGAUAUCCCAAACUUCGAAAAAUUCGUACCUGGAGUCUAAAAUGACAAAAAAAAAAAAACUUAAAUUCUUCCGUUAGUUGUCCUGAAAAGGGGAAAAUUGGAUAUUUUGACCAAUUUAAACGAGGGCAUUUUUGUUAGACACAUGUUUUCUCUAUUAAAAAUCAAAUGUAUCAGUUAUAUCAUCUUUCCAUUGCCAUCUCUUUUGCAGUACAAGAGAAGAUCAUCAUCUUCUACAAUGUUUUCUAAAUAAACUCAUGAAUUUGAUGAAAAUCCAUCAAAUUUUACUUCUCAUACACGAUGUGCUCUUCCUGAACCCAGGUACGGUGAGUAAUUUCAUGCUUCAAAAUUUUUUGUUGUAGUCUUAUUUGUUAACUAGUGGUUUGGGAAGUGUCAUCCUUUAGUACAAAAGUCCAUGUUUUUUAAAAUUUUAUUAAGUUGGAAUUGCAUAAAGUGCACAAUCGCUAUGGGCACUGCAUUUACAUUCAUAUGCAAAGCCGGUCCUGACAAUUCAGAGGCCCUAAGCGAGUCGGCAAUCUUGAGGCCCCGUACUUUGUUUUUCUACAUGUAUAGCAAUAUUUAAAUAAUAAAAAAUCUAUAUUUAAAUGAAAACUUUAUACAAUCUAAAAGAUAGAAUUGCUAAAUAAAAUAUCACUUACAAUCCGAGAGAUUAAGCUAACUUCAUAUUUAGUCUUCUCACAUUUUGAGAUGCAAAAUUAGUAAUCAACAAUUCAAAUCAAGUUUUUCAAACAUUUUUUUUUUCAAUAGAAAUCAUAGCUAACAUUCAAUCUCUCUUGUUACAUAGUUGAUCGAAGAUUGGACUUAAUCAAUUUUAACUUUUAAAAACUUCUUUCAGCAGAGACAACAGUGACUGGGAUAGUCAUAUUAUCCUAUAAGCAACCCAAGCAUUUGCAAACAACAAUUCAUUCUCUUAAUGUAAUCUAACACAUCAGCUGCUCCAUUUAUUUUUGUAGAUAUUGCUUCCCUUAAAACUUUCAACUCAAAAAACAAUUACAUUCCAUCGAUAUCGGAUAUUGUGUUAUGCUUCAAAUAAUUUUCAAGAUUAAUGCAACAACACUUCAUUUUAGCAUCAUCAAUGGAUUUAAGCUUUUCCAAAUCAAAUAAAAAUCCAUAAAUAUCAUCAUAUUCCUGAAAUUGUUCAAAUCUAUUUUGAAGCAAUGAUAGAGCUUAAUCUACUAUAUAUAAGAAAUAAUUUACCCUGAAAGAGUCUUCAACUGUUUCUGUCAUCUCUUCACAAGAAAUCUCAUCAAACUGCUUCUUUCUACGUAUAACUCUUUUUUCAUGAAAUAUCGGUUCAAUGUUUAAUUCACUUGCAAUCUCUUUAGCAUCAAUCACAGUAGAUUCAAACCCAGUUUCUCUAUAGCUUUUGAAAAAUGAAAUGAGCCCUUUUAAAUGAUCUAUAGCAACGUCAAUAUGGUUGUCCUCUGUUUGCAAAUGUUUGCUUACUCUAUUGACAUUAUUCAAUACUUCAUACCAAAUAACCAUUCCAAGUAAGAAUUCAAAAUUCUCCAUUUCAUAUGUUGCCAAACACUCUGCCUCACUUUUUGUCUUAGGAUCAUCCACUCUUGCCAAUUCAAGUAGAGCAUUUCUUAUUUGUGGAGCUUGAAAUCUUAUUGCUCUAACACUUUCAACGUGACUUUUCCAACAUGUUUGAGACAAAGGCUUAAGAGUAAGGCCAUUUACAUUAUCUUUAAAAAAUUUCCAUCUUUUAGUAGAUGAUGAAAAUAGAGUAUAUAUACGUUGCACCACUCCAAAGAAAGAUUUAGCUUUUAUACAACAACUAGUCAUAUCACAAAGUGUAAGAUUGAGACUAUGACACCCACAAGGAGUAUAAAAUGCUCUAGGAUUUACUUGUAGUAGUCUUUUCUGUAUCCUUUUAUGCUUUUAUUUCAUGUUAGUACUGUUAUCAUAUCCUUAACCCCUUAUAUUAUCUAUAUCAAGCUCUAGAUUAUUCAACGCAUUCACUAAUUCAUCAAAUAGUUCCUUUUCAGAUGUAUCAUCCACCAAUAAAAAUCCUAAAAGAAUUAUUCUACCUUCACUGGACUUGCUGAAAUAUCAACACACCUCAAUACUAUAGAAUAUGUUCUUCGUGACUCAAAUCUAGAGCGCAAUCAAGUAUUACAGAAAAGUACUUGGAUUCUUUUAGUUUCUCAAUGAUCAUUUUCUUGAUCUCACCUGCUAGCAUAAGUAUCAAUUCAUUUUGAAUUUUGUGUCCAAGAUAAUGAUAAUAAAUUUCUUUAUUUUGAAUUCAACGAAUAUGUUCUUGCAUUACAAGAUCAAACUCAAAAUCAUUUGAAUUAAGUUUAAGAAGAUACCAUUAUUUUCUUGGUAUAUCUUUUCAUUAUCUCCAUGAAACGCCAAAUUAUUUUCUGUAAGAGUUCUAACCAUGGAUAUUAUUCUCAAUAAUACUUGUCUCCAAUAUUCUCUAUCCUUAUUGAUUUGUUCUGCACACUUUUAUCAAUUGUUCGUUUCUUUUGAAAUCUUAUUUCCAUUUCGAUCCAUCUACUCAUGUUAGUAAUAUGGUCAUAACUCACUUCAUGUGUUCUUAGUUUUUCACCAAUAUUUUUCCAAUCAUUCGCACCAUCAUGUGCCAAUUGAGUUUGAACCCCAUCAUUCUUGAAUAACUUAAAACAGAAACAAAAUAAUUUGUCCAAACUUUUUGAAUAUAUCAACCACUUUCUAUCAUGAUUCUCUCCAUUGGAUAAUCGUCGAGUGUAAUGAACAGAGAAGAAGUGUCGAUUAGCUAUAUCUUUUGGAAAAAUUACAUCAUUAUCUCUUACUGGACCUUUCAUUACAAUUAAAUUUCUUAAAUUCUGAUUCAUAUUUUUUCAAUUCACUGGAUCACUAAUAUUAAAGGAGAAUGGUUCACUAAUCUUUUCAUUGAUGUUUCUUUCAUUCAUAACAUCAUCCUCGAUAGAUAUCUCUUCAUUCACCAAACAAUGAUGUUUUUCAAUUGUAUUAUCGUCGAUAUCAUUCUUAUCAAACUUUUCUUCGGGAAAUAAAUCGUCAUUAUGUUUUUGUUUACUGCCACUAAAAAAUUUAUCAAUUGCUCCUUUUUGAGAUUUAAUCAACUGUUCAACCUUUUUAUGCCGUUUUCUUUUAGAAUAUCUAGAUUCAAAUUUUAUAGUGAACAUAAUUAAAGCAAAUAAAUGUUAAACCUGAUUCAAAGUUCAAAUUAAAAUAUCCCAGAUUUCCAAAUAUGUCAAGUGUAGGAGUUCAACAAUCAACCUGCAAGAAAUAACCAAAUAACAUUUAAAAAAUUAAAAUACACUUGAGAAAUACCAACAUAAAUGAUGAAAAAAAUGCAUUGUUUCUUGAAGUGCAUCAUAUGGAAUUUUGGGGAACAAAUUACAAACCUAACCUAGGGUUCACUCUGACUUUUAAAAUUUAUCAAAAUUUCAAUUAAAAGUAAAACAAAUAAACAAGUAAACAACAAUCUGUAAAGCCAAAUUCACUUGGCUUAAAUAAGUAAACAACAACCUGUAAAGGUAAAGCUUCACAUCAAGUGAUGCAAGCUCAAAUAUGGUCGAUAUUCAUGUUUCAACCCUUUUCCAAUCUCUUCGCAAUGAAAAAAAAUUACCCCCAUAUUAAUUCAGGGAUCCAAUUAUUCUUGAAAUUACCCUCAGUGCAUGUUUACUAUUCAAUGCUAGACAUGAUUGUGUUUAAAUUUAUACAUUGAAUAGCAAGAAUAGGAGGAUACAUUGUCCGGGGAUCAGGGACCUGGGGAUGCAUCAUUGCUUGACAUUGCUACCACAAAGAAUAUGCAAACACUUAUUCAAUUUGGAGACAGUUUGUUGAAGUCUUGAAGUAGCCAGUUUCAAGGGUGAAUUUCGAAACCAGUCAACCCAAGCCAGUUCAAGGAGAGGGUAAAUGUAGAAGCUCUUAGUCGCAGCAUCACCAAUUCACUAUUCCAAUAUUCCUCACUAAAGCUAAUACUGAUAGAUAGAACUAAUUAUUAAGAGUAAUUGAGUAAAACAAAUAAUAAAAAAAAACCCUAUUUUUCAUCCCCUUUUCACCAUUAAAAAUUUGAAAUUUUGAACAGAGUAAACUACCACCACAGGAUUAAUAAUCACUAAUGACUAAUCAUACAUAUAAGCUGCUUACCAAAACCAAGGACAUGAUAGAUAUAAAGAAGGAAUUCGCCAGGCCGACGUGCAAUUGUGCGAGUCUGCGAGUGCGAGAGGAGGAAAAAUCGAGGUUUUUUGCGGUUGAUUUCGAAUUUUCAUUCGUACGCACUGGUCCCUGGAACUGGAAGCCUAGAAGCCUUGGAGAAUUUUGGAUUCUUCAAUUGGAAGCACUGAACCGAAAGCAGAUGAUUGAGAAUUUCUGAAUUUGAGAGGAAGAAUUCUUGAAUUGAAAAAAUACACAGCCCAAAAGAAAUUAGGUCAGUUCGGUAGUGUCGGGUUGUGUAUGUUAGUAUGUAGACUCCAAAGCCCAAAGGAAAUUAGGUAUCAUUGGUCCAAGACUCCAACCCAAAGGCCCCAAACCAUUUUUUCAUUUUGGAAUUAAUGUGGAUUUUGAGGCCCUGGGCCCAAGCCAAAAAUUGGAAGCCCUACACGGUUGCCUAGGUGGCUUGGCCCAAGGGCCGGCCCUGUUCAUAUGAAUAAACUAGGGUUUCGACUUGAUGAUCAUUUGUUUUGAAUUUGUUUUCUAGGAAAAAAAUCAACUUAUUUUACCAUAAAGCUAUACCAUAGCAGUCUAUCAUUUGCAAAGAUUCGAAGUUUUGUACAUGAGCAUGUUAAGAUAGCUUAUCUAGAUUAUAUGCGCACUAAUUGGUUUAAUAGGUUUCUUCUGGACAAUGUCAUAAAGAUACCGGGGUAUUUUGAGAAAAUGAGGUAUUUUUUUUAAGGUCAAAAAGAAGAGAUUGAGUGAGAUAUCGUUCACUUCUGUUUGGUAAUCGAUGCAGGCUUUACAAAUUAGUGAAGUUGCUUGGUGGGAAGAGGAUUGUUGAGUUGCGGUAUUUGCCUGUAGUUGAAGUGUUGUAAUUUCCAUGUAAUUACAAAGUAGGGAAUAAUAUUUCAAUUUUUUAUAUUGACACUUGUGAGGUUUUAGAGGAGGUGGAAGAAAUACGAAAAGCAGAUGUUGACAAACAAGUUGAGCAGAAUGCAUGCUAAGCUAUGGAUGUUUUUGAUGAGUGCAUAGAGAGUGAUGAUUUGUAUGUUGUGGAUGAAAUUGAUAGUGUAAGUGCAAAUGAUAAAAUGGAAGUAGAUGUAGAGUGUGGUGAAGCCCAGUUAGAGGAAAAUGCAUAUGAAGUUCAAUUAUAGGCAAAUACAAAUGAAAAUGCCAAGGUUAGGACGGAACAAAAAUGAGGGACCUAUGGGGAGUGAAGUAAAUGAGGAGCCCAUUGAUGAUAUACUUGCCUACAAAGUUAAGGUAGAGGCUAAAAUAGAUAAAGUAGCUGAGGUUAGGGCAGAACAAAAUGAUCAACUUGCAUGUGAACCUUCAGUGGUUGAAAAAUAUAUACAAGAUGAGGAACUUGUAGGUGAAUAAACUGAGUGCAGGGCUUGGAAAUUCACCACCUAUUGAUGAAAAUGUGGAGCUUGCAAUCGAUGAAACAAAUCAGUAAAUGCAUGAUGCACCCCUUGUUGAUGAAAGUGUGGAGCCUGCAAUUUAUGAACCAGGUCAGCAUGUACACGAUACAUCCCUUGCUGAUGAAAUGUGGAGCAUAUUGGGGCUGCAUAACCAACUGGGAAAUAUGAAUAUGAAAAAAGCCUACUAGAGGAGUUUAGUGAUCCAGAAUAUGAGUAGGAAGAAGAUGUACUUGUAGAUAAUCGUGCUGCAGAUACAUUCUUUAGGUUGGGUGAGGGUUUUAAUAUUGGUGAUUAAAAUGAGGGCUCAACAUGAGGGUCAUGCAGGUGGUGGAGAUGGUGAUGAAAUAGACUAUGAUGACUCAGAUGAUCUUAGAAGCAGUCUGCGUGAAUAAAGAAGAAUGUUCCUCUUCUAGAGCCAGGAAUGAGCCUUGAUUUAAUCCUCCAGUUGACUUAGUAUGAAAAUCUCAAAGCAUCAAUUUGAUAGGACAAGAGCUAAAUUUGGAAAAGUUGUCAAUGGAAUUAUAGUUGAACACUACAAGAUCUUGUGGCUAUAGUGAGAAAUAAAAUAAAAUAAAAAACUAAUCCUAGUAGUACAUUGCAAAUUGAAAAGAACUAAUCCUAUGUGAGACAUUCAACUCUUCCAUAAUUGUUGCAAGAGAAAAUCCUAUUAUCUCAUUAUUGGAGAAUACCAGACAUCAACAAAAUGAUGAGGAUGAAUACCAAAAGGAAAUCAGCACAAAGAUGGGAUCUAGCAUUUGGUCUUAGAAUUAUGAGUAUCACUUAGAAAGCUAAGGCAGAUGCAAGGUACUUAAAUGUAGACUAUGAUGUUAGUGAAAAAUUUAAGAUCAGCAAUAGGGAUGGAUUGAGAUGGACUGUGAACUUGAUGAAACGUGAAUGUCCAUAUAGAAAAUGGCAACUUACUAGAAUACCAUGUGCUUAUGCAAUCUCUAGUAUUGUUACCAAGGAACAUUGGCAUAAAUGAGUAUAUUGAUGUAUGCUACAGUAAAGAAGCUUGCCCGAGGACAUAUAGCCCAGUCAUACAACCAAUUUCAGGUUUUGAGUUAUAGCCAGAGCUAGAAAACUAUCCUUUAAAUCCACUCGUGAAGAAGAAAUAGACACGUAGAUCCAAUAAGAUGAGAAAAAGGUCCCAAGUUAAGCCACCCGCGAGAACUAAAAUGGCAAUGAUAGGUGUGAAGAUGACAUGUAAAAGAUACGAAAAAGUCAAGCUAUAACAAGAGAACACGCAAAGUUACCUUGCCUACAGAUGCAAAUUUACAACUAAGUUUACAAGCAGAUACACAGCAGGAUACAUAGCUAGUUGCAUCACAGGGCAAGCGAAAUGCAUUUGCAUUUAAUAAAGCACAUGUAAAGACGAAUAAAUCCAGGAGAAAAGAACAUAGAUUUUAGUAAUGAACUUUUUGUGUGAUGAAUGUGUUGUAUCAUGAAAUUUUGAUGAUGUACAAAUGAAUAUUCCAAUAGAGAGAGAGAAUUUAACUUCUUUUUGUUUAGCGACUAUUUUACUUUGAAUUGUGUCCUGUCUAAAUUGGAAGUGAAACGGGUCGGUUUGGAAUUGAUCAUAAUUAACUGAAACUAUUUCUUACAUAUUUAAAAAAGGUUUGUAGACCUAUGAUGCAAUUGGUUUGAAAGGUUGGGACCUAUGCUGCAACUAAUUUAAAAGGUUUGGAAACUAUUCUUCAACUUAUUAAAAGGUUUGGGACUUGCACUGCACCACAUACAAAAUGUUUCAGAAAAACAAUUUCCCUUGUAUUUUGAAUCAUUUACUCAGUACAGAAAGGGAAAUUGUAAACAAAACAAAAUAGGGCAACCCUGCUGAUUAAUAAGAUAUUUUAUUACUAGAAAAUAAGUUAUAAGGCCACAGACAACACACACUUCCUCACUUAGAAACCUAUAUCCCAAAACACAAACCUAACAUUUGAGCUCAAAUAUAACCUACCCAUUUCACGAAAACUUUACAUACAAAUCCAAAGAGCCAAGUUUUCUACUCACUAUGGCUUUUUAAACGAAGAAUAUUAAUUUCAGCUUCCAUCUCCAUCCUUACCAGUAGAAAACUCAGGGAUUAGCUCAUUGGAUCUAGCAUAUAUUGGAGGGUUGCACCAGUCAAAGAAGUUACAUUCACCUAUAUCUUGACGCUAUUGGCAAGUUAGAAAUCUUCUUCCUAAGCUCAAGUUAGUCCGUAAGGUCUUCAUCUGUAUAGGGUAACCACAUAGACAUAUUUAUUUCCAUCUUCGUGCUAAAUGUUUCUGAUAGUUAUCCGAAGAGAUGAAUAAAUGGGACAGGACAUGGCUGAAAAUAAAGAGUGAUUUGUACAGUGAAUGAGGAUAAAUUUGUGAUUGACUAGAAUGCCCGUAUUUAUAUUGGUCAAAAUAUCUAACUUUUUUCAUUUUCCAAGUCAACUAAAGGAGGAAUUUACGUUUUUCAUCAUUUUGGACUCCAUGUGUGAAAUUCUCAAAGGUUUGGGAUCUCUAAUUACACAAAUUGAAGGUUAAGGUAAAAACUGCAAAAAUGAAAUUACUAUUGCAAUUACCCAUGUAGUUUUUAUUUAGGGAUGGCAAGGGCACAAGUUCUAAGUGAUCGUCUAACAUUUUCCCGUCCCGUUACCGGGGGUGGGGGCAUUUGUCCAAUUCAUUAAAGUAAAUAAUAAUAUAGUUAUUAAAUUUUUAAUUAAUUAAUUUAUUUUUAAAAGUUAAGUUAUUCGAAUAUAGUUGGUAAACUAAGUAUUUAUUGUUUAUUAUAAUCCUUAGAUAAUUUUAGUUGUCAUUUUCUAUUAGAAUUAAUGAAAUUUCGUUGAGUUUUCCAUUUAAAGUACUAAUUUUUUUUUUAAAAAUAAAACAGUGCGGGGGCAGGGCCCCUAUUACCCUGUACCCGCCACCCGAUUACUCAAUUAAGUGGGUAAUCUCUGUCCCGUUCGGGGUGAGGCUUGCGAGUAUCAGGUAUGACGGAUUUUUUUACCAUCCCUAGUUUUAUUUAGACCGGACCAUUAGAGUCCAAAUUGGAAAUGGAUGUUUUUUUUCCAUCAUAGAGUUUAAGAUGGGUGUUUGGGAAACUUAUUUUAUAAAACCAUAAUUUCGGCCAGUUACUUAAUUGAUAUUAAUAACAUCAUGUUAUAGGUAAUUAACGAUCUAGUUGAUACCUUAAACAAGUGCAUGGCCUAUACAUAAUUAUUUAUAGAGUUGUCUAAAAUUCUCUUAAAAACCCAACAACUUCCAAACAUAACUAGAAGUGAUGUGGCACGUGUUGUAAGGUCCAGAAUUUUAUAUUUUUAAGUUGGUUGGUAUAACUCAUUUAAGAAACAAGUUAUUGAAGCUCAACCUAGUUAAGGUUAUGAAAGCUCAAAUUAUAAGUUAUUUAAAAGUCCAACAACUUAAGACAUUAAAUUUAAGUAAAUUUGAUUACAAAAAUUUAAUGAAUAGGGUUGCCACAAUAGUCAUUUACAAUUCUACAUGGUAUUUUACAUAUGCAACUUAGGUUCGAAUCACCAUGCAAAUUUUUUAUAAAAUUAUUAUUGAGUUAAAAACUUCUUAUUUCGCACAUUAAUAAGAGUAAUUAUAUCAAAUUAAUUGGAUGAAAUAAUUGUUUUAUUAAUGAGCAUUCAUAGAGAUAGAUUGCAAAUCAUAAUAAUAGUUCAUUUUCCUCUAUUUUUUUAUUAUAUAAAUGUUUUAUAAAAAAAUAUUUUUAUGAGCUUAAAACUCUCUAAAUUCCUAAUUCAAGACUCAAUUUAAGAAAGUAAAUGAUAAUAUAACUCCCUUGCAUUUAGCUUACAUUUAGUCUAUUACUAGAAGAGGAUGUUACAAGAAGAGAAAAGUCAUUUUUUUCAUUAUACCUCCCUCAAAUUCGAAUUUAAUCUUAUUUUCUCUCAAAAUAUCUUUUAUGUUAAAUUAAGUUUAAAGGAAUAUCGAGGGUAUGAAAGAGAUAAGGUUUUUACACAUUUUGUUCCUUUAAAUUUCAAGAAAAUUAAGGUAGGUAGAUGUGCAAGUGGUUAUUUCAUUUUCAAAUUAUAGUUUUUCGUUAAAAGUAUUAAUAAAUUGGUACUAUGAGUAUGAUACUUCAGCAUUGUUAUAGUUUGAAUGAACAUUUUCCGGCUCUACGUAUUAUAAUAAUUCUAUAAAAAUUGAAUUUUGUCGGAAAUCCAUUUAUGUGUGACGGUAAGAAUCUAUAGUUCGAAUUUUUUAAUUUAAUAACGAAAUACACUGAUAAUAUCUAUUGAGUUUCAAGCUCAUGAAUUAAUUCCCUUUCCACAGGUUCAUUUAAUUUGCUUGUGGCGUAGAUGAUGGUAGAUGAAAAUGUAUCGUGCCAUGGAGAAGCUGG
rnacentral:lncRNA from 1 species